GAGAAACACACCAAAUGCCAGAGGCUCCUUCCUUCCUUCUUCAGACAGUCAGUAUGGAUUGGGGGGUCCUGCCACUUUUCAGAUAAACAAAUCUUCUGUGCCGGUGGUUUUGCUGAAUAUCUUCUCCCCUCAAGCCUUGCAGAGGGCAGGGAUAUAUACCAACUACACCCAGGAAGGAGGUACAGAUGACUCUACUUUUUGAAGUUGACCUUCCCCAGAAACCAGGACCUACAGAGAAGCAAACUUCUAUUUGCUUUUAAAAAGAAGAAGAAGA
rnacentral:lncRNA from 1 species